CCCUAUUGUGAAGCCUUACCCUUUAAGUGAAAUGCACCUUCUGAUCUCGGAAGCUAAGCAGGGUCGGGCCUGGUUAGUACUUGGAUGGGAGACCAUCUAAGAAGACCAGGUGCUGUAGGCG
ensembl:rRNA 5S_rRNA 5S ribosomal RNA